GACAGAGGUGCCGAGCGUUAGGCGGAAUCACUGGGCUUAAAGCGUGUGUAGGCGGAUGGGUAAGUACCUUGUGAAAUCCCACGGCUCAACCGUGGAACUGCUCGGUAUACUGCUCGUCUUGAGCCAACUAGGGGCGACCGGAACAAACGGUGGAGCGGUGAAAUGCGUAGAUAUCGUUUGGAACGCCGAUGGUGAAAACAGGUCGCUGGGAGUGUGCUGACGCUGAGACACGAAAGCCAGGGGAGCAAACGGG
rnacentral:rRNA from 1 species